rnacentral:rRNA from 1 species
GUAGGGAAUAUUGGGCAAUGGUCGGAAGACUGACCCAGCCAUGCCGCGUGCAGGAAGACGGCCCUCUGGGUUGUAAACUGCUUUUAUCUGGGAAGAAAAAGGCCAUGCGUGGCAAAUUGCCGGUACCAGAUGAAUAAGCACCGGCUAACUCCGUGCCAGCAGCCGCGGUAAUACGGAGGGUGCGAGCGUUGUCCGGAUUUAUUGGGUUUAAAGGGUGCGUAGGCGGCUGAUUAAGUCAGCGGUGAAAGACUUCGGCUUAACCGGAGCAGUGCCGUUGAUACUGGUUGGCUUGAGUGUCGGAGGGGUACAUGGAAUUGAUGGUGUAGCGGUGAAAUGCAUAGAUACCAUCGGGAACACCGAUAGCGAAGGCAUUGUACUGGCCGACAACUGACGCUGAUGCACGAAAGUGUGGGGAUCGAACAGGAUUAGAUACCCCGGUAGUCC